GUCCAUUAGCUAGUUGGUAAGGUAACGGCUUACCAAGGCUACGGAUGGGUAGGGGUCCUGAGAGGGAGAUCCCCCACACUGGUACUGAGACACGGACCAGACUCCUACGGGAGGCAGCAGUGAGGAAUAUUGGACAAUGGGCGCAAGCCUGAUCCAGCCAUGCCGCGUGCAGGAUGACGGUCCUAUGGAUUGUAAACUGCUUUUAUACAGGAAGAAACACUCCGACGUGUCGGAGCUUGACGGUACUGUAAGAAUAAGGAUCGGCUAACUCCGUG
rnacentral:rRNA from 1 species